GAUCAUGGCUCAGGAUGAACGCUAGCUACGGGCUUAACACAUGCAAGUCGAGGGGAAACGAUAGAGAAAGCUUGCUUUUUCUAGGCGUCGACCGGCGCACGGGUGAGUAACGCGUAUCCAACCUGCCCAUCACUUGGGGAUAACCUUGCGAAAGUAAGACUAAUACCCAAUGACGUCUCUAGGAGACAUCUGAAGGAGAUUAAAGAUUUAUCGGUGAUGGAUGGGGAUGCGUCUGAUUAG
rnacentral:rRNA from 1 species